rnacentral:lncRNA from 1 species
GUGGGGGGUGGAGAGAGCUGCAGGGUGCCAGACGCUGAGAACAAAAACAGGAGAUGCCUGAUUUUGUGCUUGACAAAUGCUGGAGGCAUUCCUCUAGGGCCUCAACAGAAAGGAAGGAAAAAAAAAAAAAAAAAAAAAAAAAAAAGACCAGGAGCAGAAAAUAGGCUCUGACAGUCCAAAGCAAUUUCCUUGGAAAUUACUCUUUCAAUGUCCUGGGCCUUCAUCAUUUUUAAAAUUACAAAAGUAAUACAUGUGUUUGAUAUAAAAGUUUGAAUACCAUUUUUCUAUAUUUAUAUGUAUAUGUGUGUAUUUACUGUAAUAAGCAUCAGACCUAUUAUAUGCAUUUUCUAUUUUUCGCUUUUUUAUUCCUAUUAUAGAUAACACCGUGAAUAAUGUUCUUAUAUGCGUCAUUGUCUAUAUAUAUAAUUAUCUGCAGGAUUUUUUUCCAGAAGGGUUUGAAAGGUGUGGAGAUAAGGCACCAUCAGCUCCGGCCCUGGCAGGUGUUGAUGGCACCUGCUUGGGCCUCUCCCUCCUGACCAAGUGAAGCUCCUUGCUCUGUCACUCAUGGGCCUUUUUCCUAUAGUGAAACUUGCCACCAUUUUCCUUCCCAAAUAAACAAAUGAACAAUCACAGUAGGCCCUGCUGUACUCUGGUUGGGGAGUACCCUGCUGCCCCAUAACCUUCAUCAUUGGACAAGAGGUUGAAGGUGACCCCUCUUUUGCCUGGACAUGGCAUACAUGGAGUGUCCUCUUUCCAGUUACAGUCAUAUUGAGUAGAAGUUUAAGUUUUGGAGACAGACCUGCAUUUAGUGCAGAACACUGAAUGCAAUUAGUAUUUGUUAAAUAAAUACAUGAGUGAAUAAAUGAAUAGAUGAAUAAAAUUUUUAAAGAACACAGAUGCCAAUUUUAGAGCCUAUCAAUUGGGAGAUUGUUGACAGUCCUGAAAUCCACUUAGCUUUUAUGGUUAACCAUGUCCAGAGAAAAUAAGUCCUAAAGUUUGAUGAACAUCUGUCUUUGUCUUAGAUGUUGCUGACCAGUCUUUUUGCCCUGUUGAGGUAGAUGAACUGCCUCGAGGCCACUUUCUUCAGGAAAUAGAACUGCCAUCUGUAUGGUUUAUGGUGCCACAGAUGUGGCAUCUCUAAAGUUCUAGACCCACUUUCUGAUACAAAGACAAGUUUCUGCGUCCCUUGUACAUUUCUCCACCUUUGUGUUUCACUUGCUCGAUAAUGAUUUUGCAGGCACCUUCCAAUUGCUGGGCCUGCUCUAGAGUUGGAGGUUGGCACCAAUCCAGGGGCAAUGUCAUGACCAGAACUGUUGGAUUAACCGCAGAGCAAUCAACAGCCCUACUAAAACUCUGUGCUUGAGGACUCCUAUGUACUUAGUGAGGUUGUCAGUUUCUUAAGGACAAACACUCCCUACUAAGCUUAAAAUUUUUUUUGUCACAGAGCUCAGCACAAUGUGAGACUCAGAGCAAAUACCCAAUAAACAAGCUGUUGACAAACCAACUAGGCAGGCAACACAGCAUGGUGGUUAUGCGUACCAUGGACUCCGGAACUCAGCUGCCUGGGUUUGAACGCUGGCUCUGUCCCUUCUAGGGUGUGUGGUCUAGGGCAAGCUACUUAGUCUCAUUGUGCCUCAGUUUUAAAAUUCACAAUAACAAAGAUAUGAAAUCAACCUAUGUGUCCAUCUCAAUGGAUGACUGAAUAAAGAAAUUUUUUAUAUAUAUAUAUAUAUAUAGUAUUCCAUAUAUAUAUGGAUAUAUAUGAAGAGAUAUAUAUAUAUAGAUGUAGUAUUCCAUGGUGUGUGUAUAUACAUAUAUAUGUGUACCAUGGAAUACUACUAAGCCAUAAAAAAUAAUGAAAUCAUGACUUUUGCAGCAACAUGGAUACAUGGAUGGGCCUGGAGGCCAUUAUCUUAAGCAAAAAACUCCCAGAAACAGAAAGUCAAAUACCGCAUGUUUUCACUUACAGUGGGAGCUAAAUAAUGUGUACAUAU